UACGUAGGGUGCGAGCGUUAAUCGGAAUUACUGGGCGUAAAGCGGUGCGCAGGCGGUGAUGUAAGACCGAUGUGAAAUCCCCGGGCUUAACCUGGGAACUGCAUUGGUGACUGCAUUGCUGGAGUAUGGCAGAGGGGGGUGGAAUUGCCACGUGUAGCAGUGAAAUGCGUAGAAGAUGUGGAGGAACACCGAUGGCGAAGGCAGCCCCUGGGCCAAUACUGACGCUCAUGCACGAAAGCGUG
rnacentral:rRNA from 1 species